rnacentral:lncRNA from 1 species
UUUUUUCUACUAUAUAUGUUCCUCUGUGCCUUGUUUUUCUACAGUGUUUCUACACCAUGCUCGCAUGUUCAUCUUGUUGUGUUUUCCUAUAUGUCUUGUUGAUACACUUUUCUGGUAUUUUUGUGUUCUCCUACUAUUGUUUCCCUACUGAGUUCUUAAGUUCUUUGUUUACCUUUUACUGAACCUUUGUUUGAACAUGUUUCUUCUACUAUUUUUUUAAAUGCUAUACUAUCUCUUUUAUCUUCUGAGCCCUAUUUAAGUCCCAGCUUUUUCUUAACAUGUGCCUCCUACUCUCACAAUGCUUCGCGGCAUCAGUUUCUUCACUCUGUUGUUUCAAACCUGCUAUUAUAUCUCUUUGUUUCCUCAUGAGUCUCUGGGAGAGAUCUCUGAGCAUGUUUCAAUUACUUUCCUCCUCGUCUCUGUAUCUGAUUCAAAUGAAAACCCUAGGAUUUCAGGUUUUUCCUUGUGUUUGGACCAGGGUUCUAUUUUGGAACCCCUGACUCUUUCAGACUCAUUUUGAGUCUUUGAGUUGAUUUUGAAUCUCUUUGUUUACUGCUCUGAACUUUUAAAUUCUUCUGCUGAUUAUCACAAUAGUUCUUCGUGCUUAAGUGUGGCUGUAUGCUUUUAUACGUGUGAUAAAUUCUUUCUUU